UUGUCACUUUUAAUUGAGGUCAGAGGCUCAAUUCUAUGGUGGGUCAUAUAUAUCUCACUUAUGGUGGUCCAGUUUGUGGACACAGAAAAGGACAAUUUUCUGAUUAAUGUCAGUUUUGAGUUUACAAUGUAUUUCAUAUACCUUAGUUGCCUUUACUUACUGUUGGAGUAUUUCGUUUAGUCAUUAAUGAAGCAAU
ensembl:misc_RNA